rnacentral:rRNA from 1 species
UGCGGAAGGAUCAUUACCGAGUGUAGGGUUCC